UACAAAGCUUCAAUGAAAAUCGGUUCAUCUUUUUUGAUACACGCCUCGGUGUCACUGGUAACAUCACUAGGGGGAAGUAAGCGGGAAAGCUUACUUUCUGUUGACCGUAACCUUUAUUGGUGUAUUUUAAUGUGGCUUUCACAUAGACUUUAACAUAAUCAAUCAACAAGUGUGUCUUCAGGGUUUUGCAUCAUCGUAUGAUCAAGGAACAAAUGGAACGCGUCAACAAUGGUUUUUUCCUGCUACUUCGCCUCUCAGCGGUUAUAGGUUGCCACUACAUAUAGUGAAGAGUGCUGGAAAUAUGUGGAAGAAGUGAAGAGAUGAGAUCGAGAGCACACCUUGUUCAUCAUGUGUGCAUUCACAAUAAUAUCAGAGUGAGAUUUUUUUUUAUACAGCUAAUCCCUGAGUUAUGAAGGGGAAGACUCCAUCGUAAAUAGAAAAUAUCGCAAGUUGAACCAUGACCUAACAUUUGUUCAACUUAAAGAAGUCUUAAAGAGUGGUGAUCAGUAUGGGUGUAGUAUACUGUAAAUUGGUAAUAAUUUAACACUUUACAGUACAUUUGGCUAAUGCAAUCUAAUACAAAGCUUGUUCUGUAAAUAAUCCUAUGUGCUAUAAAAACCAUUAACAAUGGUGGUAACCCUAAAAUAAACAAACAUGCAUUGAAGUAUCAUAUCACACCAAAUUGUAGUCACCAAGAUUCUGACUGACGUUUGAAUACUCGAACAACUUUAGGUUGUUGAUGGCCACAUUAACUUAGUUGCCUGAAGAUUGAACUUAUUUGAUUUAAAUAAACCAAAUAACCAAGUAGCUGCACGUAUCCGAUUCAAAACACUGAUGCUGGCCUACAAAGCCAAAAAUGGACCAGCUCCCUCUUACCUCAAAGCCCUCAUCAUUCCUCGCACUGCACUCCGGAACCUCCGAUCUACCAGCACUGCUCGACUGGUUCCACCAUCUCUCCGGGUAAGAGGCAAGUAUACUACAAGACUCUUCUCUGUUCUGGCACCAAGGUGAUGGAAUGAACUUCCCCUAGAGGUCCGGACAGCUGAGUCACUGGCUAUUUUCAAGCGGCGGUUGAAGACCUACUUAUUCAGGAAACACUUCAACUAGCACUUCUUUCCUUAUCUUUUGCAUUAAAAAAAACAAACAACAACAAAAAAAACCUUUGACACUUUUUCAUUGUAACUUUGAACAAAUGUUUUAAACUCAUGGUAUCUUAAGUAUGUAACCUAGUGAACCAGCAUUAAUGUAUUCAAUGUUAGAGAUUUAAGCACUUAUGUACGUCACUCUGGAUAAGGGUGUCUGCCAAAUGCUGUAAAUGUAAAUGUAAAUAAGAUAAUUGGAAAGGAUUAUAUUUUAGCAAUCAUGUAUUUACACAAUCCAAACUAUUUCCACACAACAAAAACAAGUGCCAAAAAUGUAUGUUUGGUUAUUUAAUACCAAGGAGACCUAAACUGGGUGCACAGAUUGUGACAAUAUCAGUAGUUGUAAAAAUAUCCAUCAAGUUAUUUAUGUACAGUUAAAAUAGUUUUAAUAUUUUGUUGUUCUUGUUGUUUGGUAUAAAUUUGGAUGUAUUUCAUCAAUUACUUUUAUGCUUUUAGUUUGCACAUAUGAUACUCUGUAAUAGCAUAUACAUUUAUGUUAUAUAUACAUUAAUAUGUAUAUAUACCAUUUCUAUUUAAGUCUCAGUUUUUGAUUCACAGUCCAGUAGCUCGAGUAGUAAUUUCAUACUAUGAAUUCAUUCAUAUGCAUCAUUAAAGUUGUACUAUACAAAAAUACUGUGUUUCAUUCAUAUUUUGAAGCAAUUCUAGAAAUACUGUACUGUACAUCUACAGCAAACAGAUUACAAACAGAGCUAAACAUGGAGCAUUAACAUAUUCAGAUCGGGAAAUAUCAUUAAUAUUAUAAACAAAACAAAGCCUGUUCUAAGAUGCAAAGCAACGUUAUUGUAUUUUCUCUAUUAAGAGCUAAGAACAGUGCCACCUUAUGGGUAUAGUUCGUUUUUUUUUUUUUUUUUUUUUUUUUUAUCUGUCCUUUUUUAACCUCCUGAUACCCGUAUGCUACUGUUGUGUACAUUAAAAUUUCUACUGACUGUUUCUCUUAAUUCAUAGCUGAUAACUAUAAAUUUAAUCAGUGUUUUCAAGGAAGCAGUUUCACA